CACUAACUUAUUAAGUUCUUGACCUUUUGAAAGACUGACAACAAUACUAAGCAGACUCUGACUUGGUGUAGAUCCUUACAGCAACAGCCAAUCCCAAUAUCGCCAAGGGAACCAAAAACUGGAGGAUCUUGAUGAUGAACUCUGGUGUCUUAUCCUGGUUGUAGUGUGGUUGCUUCGGGGGCGUGUACUUCACCUUGGUGGGUAUCGUGGUUGCGUCAAUGUCGCCGACAUAAUACUCAUCCAUCAUCGCCCGAGCAGUGGUGCUGUGCCCCACAUCUUCGAAGUCGUCGGUAGCAUCCUUGGCUGCAAUAUUCAAACAUCAUCACCUCCAGGGUGAUCCUCCAAAAACUUGGUCACAUUAAGACCUUGCCGCCGAUGAUGAGCCAGCAAUCGUCCUUGGUGUUGUGCUUGGAGACCUCCUCCAGGGUCAGCACCUUG
rnacentral:sRNA from 1 species